rnacentral:rRNA from 1 species
GACCAAAUCAUCAUCCGUCCCCUUAUCGACCGUGGGCUACACACGUGCUACAAUGGUUGGUACAACGAGUUGCGAGUCGGUGACGGCGAGCUAAUCUCUUAAAGCCAAUCUCAGUUCGGAUUGUAGGCUGCAACUCGCCUACAUGAAGUCGGAAUCGCUAGUAAUCGCGGAUCAGCACGCCGCGGUGAAUACGUUCCCGGGCCUU